rnacentral:sRNA from 1 species
CCGAGCCCGGCGGGACUAUGUUCACCAGCACCGGCUCCAGUGGGCUCUAUGGAGUUUCUCCCUGUCGUCCAGGCUGGAGUACAAUGGUGUGAUCUCGGCUCACUGCAGUCUCUGUCUCCUGGGUUCAAACAAGGCGCCUCUGUCGAAGAGCCUUCUGCUGGUCCCCAGUGCCCUCUCCCUCCUGCUCGCCCUCCUCCUGCCUCACUGCCAGAAGCUCUUUGUGUAUGACCUUCACGCAGUCAAGAACGACUUCCAGAUUUGGAGGUUGAUAUGUGGAAGAAUAAUUUGCCUUGAUUUGAAAGAUACUUUCUGCAGUAGUCUGCUUAUUUAUAAUUUUAGGAUAUUUGAAAGAAGAUAUGGAAGCAGAAAAUUUGCAUCCUUUUUGCUGGGUUCCUGGGUUUUGUCAGCCUUAUUUGACUUUCUCCUCAUCGAAGCUAUGCAGUAUUUCUUUGGCAUCACUGCAGCUAGUAAUUUGCCUUCUGGAUUCCUGGCACCUGUGUUUGCUCUGUUUGUACCAUUUUACUGCUCCAUACCAAGAGUCCAAGUGGCACAAAUUCUGGGCCCGUUGUCCAUCACAAACAAGACAUUGAUUUAUAUAUUGGGACUGCAG